CAGAUAUUGACUGCAAUUGUAGAGAGAAGAAUGCUAUUUUCUUGAACUAGAGAAGGUGUCAAUAAUGAUAAAGAAAGUGAAUAUAUUUCUAGAAGGUUCUGGAGAUAUGUCAUAAGACAGCAUGUGAAUUGACCAUGUUUUCCACAUCUUUGACCAAGUAUAAUAUUAAAUAAUAUUUAGUAUCUUGACAUUUAAUUUUACUAAAGAUAAUUCAUGUGUUUGUGUUACAAGGAUAUUACAAAGGUGGGAAGGAGAGACUACGUUAAAAGAAAAGGUAAAGUGAAGGAUAUUGAAAAGCAAAAGCAAAGGAAGAAACUCAUUCAAAAAUAAGUUACAAAAUAAGGCAAAAUAUUAGGUAAACUUAGACAUAUUUCAUAAAUCUUUUAAAAUGAGAACAAACUUGAGAAUACAGGGAAAGUGCUUUUGAUGCAUCUGUUGCUAUUCACCUUCUCUUUCUCAUUUAAAUAUACAUUUCAAAUAAUGAAAACCUUUUGUGAAUAUACUAUGUAGUAUACUCAUAUUAAUAAGUGAUAUAUUUAAAAAUUAAUCCUUCUAUAUCCAAAUAAAUAUACAACAUCUAAACCUACUACCAAUUUGUCACAUAAUGAUGAGUAGAGAGCAAUAAAAUCAAUGAAAAGAAUUUUGUUGUGAAUGAUUUUUGUUGUGAAUGAUAAGCAAACAUUGCAUUCAAUAAAUCUGUAUUUAUAAUGUGUUAAAAAAUAUCUAUCAAGCUAAACUAAUUCCCUCGUCACCUGAAAAGAGAGAAGACCAAGAAAUGACUGAUAGGCAACCAACAAGAAUACCUGUGAAAUGGAGACAAGAAUGUUUGAGAACUGACUGACCAUCCAGUGGCACCUGAGAAAAGAUACAGAAUGGCACAAUGGAUAAGAAUUCACCAAUCAAAAAAUCUGCUGUCUUCAAGAGGCUCAUCUGGCAUAUAAGGACUCACAUAAACUUAAGGGAGAAGCCAGGAGUAGAAGUCUCCUAUGAUCACAUGGGGCUGAACAAGAGACAGAACAAAGAUAAUUCAGUACCACAAAUUUUCCUGCUACCUUUGAUGCUGCUGGUUUUGAAUCACCUGGGGUGCGGGAGACUUUUAACCUUUAACUGUAUUUCUCACAAAAGAAAUUGAUUCAUGCAUUGUUGUUGAGUCUUUGUCUCCAUGGGGGAAAGGAGAGACUCUAUCCUUCUAUUCUGCCAUCUUGCUGACAUCAACGAUCUGAAAUUAUUUUUGACUAUACAGUGAAGAGAUAGCUAAUGAGAGUGUUUGGAAAUAUACAUUAAGGGAGUAUGUUUCACAUAAAUAUAACAAAAUUAUUAAUGGAGUUACAAAUUGAGCUGUCAUUUUCAUUUACAACUAAUCUAAUAUUUAUUUCAUUUAAACAUACAACUAUAAAGUGAUGAAUAAUAUCUUAUUACUUUAUUGUGAUCCAAGUUUGAAAUAAUGGACCACAGAGCUUAGAGACUGAAUAUACAAAUAAGCAAUGACCAGACUGCAUAUCACAAUAAGCGCAAGAAUGCAAACCACAACCUCUGCAUCAACUGGCCCAGAAUUGUCAGGACUUGGUCGUGACAGCGUAUGACUGCUUACCUAUUUUUCUCCCUGCUUCCAACUCAUGACCAACCAAGUAAAAUCAAAUGUACUCCCAAAACCAACCACAGAAUAUGUCCUGCUGUUAGUUAGCUGAGUUUGAGCAUCCUCAUGACCUCUAAUCAGAGUGUACCUGAAACCUUCUAUUUGUUCACUAUAUAGCAUUCUCACUCCCCUGCCUGCAUUUGAAUCUCUGUCACACUCAAGCUUGCUGUAGGAAACUCUGAAUAGGUUAUGUUUGUUUAUAUUUGGGUAGUCUUCAUAUAGCAUAUUAGUAAAAUUAUUCUCAAGUAUAUAGUAAUCACACAGGCAGCUAUCAGGACUAAAUGGUAAAUAGACAAGACACUUGAACAGAUAUUUUUCCUCAAAGAUGUAUAAAUGACUGAUAAACCCUUGAAGAUGCUCUAAAUCACUAAACUUUAGAGAAAUGCAAAUCAAAGCCAUGAUGAAAUAUGACAUCACAACUCUUAGGAUGGAUAACAUUAAAAAAAAGACAGAAAAUAGCAAGUUUUGAUAAGGAUGUGAACAAAUUGAAAACCUAUGCAUUAAUAAGUGGCAGAACCAUGGUGGAAUACACUUUUUUAGCAUUUCCUAAAAAAUAAACACUUGUUAUCAUAAUAUCCAUAAAUUCCACUUAUGUAAUAAAAGACAAGAAUUCAAACACACAUUUGCACACUCAUGUUCAUAGCAACAUUAUUUUCAAUAGCUAAAAUGUAAAAGCUACCCAAGUGUCAUAGAUGGAUGAAUAAAUCAACAAAAUGUUGUCUAUACAUACAAUGGAAUAUUAUUUACCCCUAAAAGGAAGAAAUACUCACAAAGGAUCAUUCAUGCUACUACCUGUAUGAUCCUUGAAGAUACUAUGCUAAAUAAAAUAAGCCAGUCACAGAAGGGUGAUUGUUGCAAUUUUUUACUAAUAUGAAGUACCUAGAGUAGUCACAUUCAUCAAGGCAGAAAUUAGAAUGGUUGUUGCCUAAGGCUGGAGAGAACAAAGAGGGUUAUUGUUUAAAGGGUACGAAGUUAUUAUUGGGAAAGAUGAAAAAGUUCUAGAAAUGGAUGAUGGUGAUGGUUGCACAUACAUUUGAAUUUACUGAAUAUCCCUGAACCAUACACAUACAAAUGAUUAAAAUAAAAAAUUCAAAGAAAGUUUUAAAUGUUUCUGGAGCUUAACAAAGAAUGCCAUCCAUAGAUGAACAUUUACAGUUUAGAUGUGACUAUUCAAAUUAUGAGAAAGUCACUAUUCACCAGAGUGUACAGGGAAGAGAAGGGUCUCAAGAACUAUGCUUUGGGGAAACAAAAUAUCUUGACCCAAUUCCCACUUCUGAACAUACCUCCGCCACUCCCACGAAGGCACUUUAAUUUCUUACUGAAUUUGUUGUGUUAAACACUUGUUUUGUAUCAGUCAUAAAUAUAAGAAUAAUCUAACGCCUUACUUUAUCAUAUUACUUUAAAAACUGCUAUGAUUUGUUGAUAUUACACAUUCAGGGAGAGAGGACCGGGGUCAUGCAGUCUGUAUAAAGUGCAAUAUUAAAGCCUUCUGUAGUUUUUAAUGUCUCAGAGUCCAAACUCUCUUUGUUUCACUCUUCCCAGACACUAAAUCUGGUCUUUGGCCAGGGUUAUUUUCUAACUGAGCAGUAAGAAAAUACUAAUCAUAAAAAUAAUUUUUGCCAGAUUUUAUGUAAUUUGCCUGUGUUCAAUACCAGUCAGCACUUCCGCAUUUAGAAUGCUUUGUAUUUCUCUGGGGCUAUGACAACAAAUUUAGGUUGCUUUCAGUCUUCUACCAUUGUUACAUAUGCCAGGAUUUAGCUUUCAGUUACUAUUAUUUGUUAAUUCCAUUAAGUCAGCUGGAAACCAACUUCUAUAUUGUAUUUUUUUUUCUAUUUUAAAGAUAUUUGAAUUCUCUUCUUUUUUUCUGAUAUAGUAUACCUUGAGGACUUAUGCUUUUGUUUUUAACACCACUGCUAUCGAUUACUAUGGGUACAAGAGGGAAAAUAAGUAAAAUUGUGUCUAAUCCACUAUGCUUCCCUGCUAAAGCGACCCACUAUUAAUCAAUUAUCUCUCUUGUUUCUGUUUUAUUUCUUGCUUGUCUCUUUUAUACUGAAUUGUUUUCAUUUUUCUUAAUUUUCUCCUUAAACCCUGGUUUUCACUGUUCUCUCUGCUCCUUCCAUAAUCCCCUUAAUUUAUAUCCACAUUCCAGAUGGCCUUAUAUGCUACAUGUUCCUGGGAAACGUUCAUCUCCCCAAGUGCCUACAAUAUAAUAUCUCCUCCAUAAAGAAUGUUAAGUAAUUAAAUUACAAAGAGAAGAUCAUAAAGAGUAAUCCUGUGUUGUAGAAAUAAAUGGUGUACAUAU
rnacentral:lncRNA from 1 species